AAAACAAGAGUGAACCCUAAGUCUAACACUUUCACUCUCGUCCUUCUCUCUGCCUCACACUCACAUGAACCCUGCGCUGCUUCCACACGAAUCGAGCACUCUGCCUCAUACAAACCCUAGUGAUGUCUGACUCCCACGAACCCUAGUGCUUGCUGCUUCCACACGAACCUAGGGCUCUCUGCCUCACACGAACCCUAGCCAUGCCUGCCUCACACGAACUCUGCCUCCAUACGAACCCUAGCGCUCUCUGCCUCACAAAACCCUACUCUCUCUGCCUCUACACGGAACCGAUUUGAAGGUAAUUUGAUGUUUAGGAUUUGUCAUGUGAUUCUAUUUGUGUAUUUCAUUAUGUGUUUCAUCUUUUUACUAGGUAGCUAAAGAGAAAUUGAAGAAAUUUAUCACAGAGGCGGCAGGGGAGAAAGAGUUUCCUGACUCGAGUUCUGAUUUUCGAGCAAUUAAAGCAAGUUAUCACAGAGGCAGGUGAGAGAAUUCUAAAACUCAUUUUUUGUUCCAAUCCUGCUGAAACUGCUUUUCUGUAUCCAAGGGUCUUUGUUGAGUGAGGAGAAUGGUCUGUUUUCUUACAUGGUUCAUAGGUGAAGCUUGCCCAUUCACGUAUGAGUAAAAGAAUGACACUGCAUCGUCUUGACAUUGUUGAAUCUGAUUUGUUGAGAAAGCCAUUUGGCGGUCUGCAACAACCAUUUGCCCUUUCCAGGUUUCAGCCUUGAGGACAAGGCUAACUCUAUUGGGCAGGGAAUUGAUAUCCCACUCAGGUCCAUAGUUGUAAACCUAAGAAUAAAAAGUAGGAUUGAUUGUUUAGUGGUUCUGUUUAGGUGUAUUUCUGUUUCAAUUAGUAGAGAAGGAGUAUUUGGAGAAUGGUCGAUUCUGUUAGAGGGGAGUGGGGUUGGUCUUUUUCCUUUGGAAAAAUGUUGAGAUCAUCCUGGGGGAUUCAUC
rnacentral:lncRNA from 1 species